GCCUUGUGUCCAGUGCCCUAAACUGUCCCAGUUCCGGGGCGCACAUCAACCACAGAAGAGUGGAUAAGAAAUCGGACAGCUGGCACCCUGACACGCCAUGGCCGGAAGUGAAACGGUCCUGACGACGCAGGACGCACCCAGGAGAGCAGGAGCCAGCAGUUCCCGCCCUCCUGGCUGCCUCCAGGGCUCUCUGUGCCCCCUUCCUGGAGGUCACCUUUCCCUGCAUCUCUGCGGGCUCCUAGCUCCUCAGAGACGCUUUCUCCGGUCAUCUGAUCCUCGAUGCGUACCAGGGACUCAAAGAAACCAGGAUGUCUGCCAAAACUUAAAGGACACCAGGAGGGUCCCCAAAGCGACAGACUUCUCUGCAUCUGGAGGAAAUGGCUAUAUUUGAAAAUAACACCGACUUUUUCAAAGGGUAACCGUAUAGCAAGAGCAAACUCUGUGUGAGCCUCCCUCUUCAGAUGGCUGGUCUUUCACAAUGAGAAGAGCUUGGGUGCCACAAAAUGAAGGAGGAACCAAGGCUGCCUGCAAACCUCAGGCAGCACAAAAGCCUGAUUGCUGCCACCCAGUCGAUUUAGAUUUACUGCAUUUUAAAAUUCAAAUCCAGAAGUUCCCUUGUGGUGCAGCAGGUUAAACAUCCCAGGACACUGCAGGGGCACGGGUUCAAUCCCUAGCCCAAGAACUUCCACAUGCCAUGGGUGUGGCCAGAAAAAAAAAAAAAAAAAGAUUCAAGCACCAUAUAACUGUUCAUCAUUCGUAAUCACCCUUUUGGUUUUUGUUUAGCUGGUUUCUUUUUUCAUUAUUUGAGAAUAAUUUCAAUAGUGGCUUCAUCAUGACAUUGU
rnacentral:lncRNA from 1 species